rnacentral:rRNA from 1 species
GACGAACGCUGGCGGCGUGCUUAACACAUGCAAGUCGAACGGAAAGGCCCUGCUUUUGUGGGGUGCUCGAGUGGUGAACGGGUGAGUAACACGUGAGUAACCUGCCCUUGACUUUGGGAUAACUUCAGGAAACUGGGGCUAAUACCGGAUAGGAGCUCCUGCUGCAUGGUGGGGGUUGGAAAGUUUCGGCGGUUGGGGAUGGACUCGCGGCUUAUCAGCUUGUUGGUGGGGUAGUGGCUUACCAAGGCUUUGACGGGUAGCCGGCCUGAGAGGGUGACCGGCCACAUUGGGACUGAGAUACGGACCAGACUCCUACGGGAGGCAGCAGUGGGGAAUAUUGCACAAUGGGCGGAAGCCUGAUGCAGCAACGCCGCGUGCGGGAUGACGGCCUUCGGGUUGUAAACCGCUUUCGCCUGUGACGAAGCGUGAGUGACGGUAAUGGGUAAAGAAGCACCGGCUAACUACGUG